GUUUACACUUACAUUUUUAUGUGCUUUCUAGUUUUUCUAUUAAUGGUCCCUUUUACUCUCCUUUCUUGCCCUCUUCAGGACUGAUAUUUUUAUUACUUCAUUUUUGCUCGCUAAACUGGAAGAUAUACACUUUGACUACUCCGUCAGUGCUUGUCCUAAAACCUGCAGCAUGCGUCCUUCGAUUUAUCAAGAAAAUUUACUUGUGAAUAUCACACAACCUGCAAACAUCCAGAGAAAAAUGCCUUUCUCUAGUCACGAGGACAGUGAGUUGCUCUCCAGCAGGAGGCAACACUUUCUGCUUUACGACAUGAUUCUCUAUGUGAUCUGCGGGAUGGUCUUUGUACCCAUUUUCUCCUUCAUGGGGAUUGUUCCUGAGAGCAUUCCCCAAUACACUUCCUGCAUGCAAAUUUCCGAAUCUCAGAGUCUGUUUGCUAGGACCCCGAACUCCAAGGGAUAAUGGGAAUAAUACUUCUUUUUGUAAAGGAUUCCCCUGAGGACGGCUGGUUGAGAAUAGAAGGAACAUAAAAUGAAAGCAAAAUGAAUAAGAAGUCCUUGCUAUUAGAGUUGGGAAUCAACAAAAAGAAGCGGAUGAGGAGACAGUAUUUAAAACAUCAGUCGUACCAGCUCUCAACCUCACCCCUCGGAGCAUUAUUUUCCCAAGACACUUACUGUAGCCUGAAAUCUCACCAUUGGUUUGGGGUAAAGCCAAAUCCAAGAGAAAAUCAGUGAAAACCUCCUGGUCUUCUAUCUCUUUCUGCUCUGUCAGAAACCCACAGACCUCUAAAAGAAAACAAAGUUUCACAUUGACAGAGCACAUGUUGGAAACACAAUUAACUGUCCUGAGACUCGCCCUAGGGUCCGGAGAGGCUGGGUAGCACAGUGGAGCACAGAUGGGCAUCCUCCACCGGGAAGAUAGGGUGGCUCUCUCAGGCCGAAGCAAGGGGGCUCAGAGGCUACCAGAGUUCAUGUGAUGGGGGAGUAAAAAGGAACUUUUAAUCAGGAGCUGUUUUGUGCACAAAAAUCACACGUCUUCAGGUGCAAAUGAAUCGUGACCUCUACAGCGAGGAAAUUGAAGGCUUUGGGCCAGGAGGGUAAAAAUCCCAUUUUUAGAACUUUUCAGCCAAGGCUACCUUUUGCUGAGAUAACUGCUCAACUCUGCUCCUUCCCUGCUUACAAACCCACAUUUCAAGAUUCUUCCUUCCAUCUCUGGCCCCGGGUGGAAUAAAUCAUCUGAACAACAAAAUAAUCA
rnacentral:lncRNA from 1 species